GUCCUUUUGUUAAUAAUUAAAGGUCUAACCUGCCCACUGAAAUAUUUAAGGGCCGCAGUAUUUUGACUGUGCAAAGGUAGCAUAAUCAUUAGUUUUUUAAUUGAAAGCUUGUAUGAAGGGUUGGAUGAGAAAAAUUCUGUCUCUAUUUAAUUUAUAGAAUUUUAUUUUUAAGUUAAAAAGCUUAAAUUUUUUUAAAAGACGAGAAGACCCUAUAGAGUUUAAUAUAAUUUAAAAUUUAAUUUUUUAAGAAUUUUAUUAUUUAAAUUUUAAAUUUUAUUUAAUUGGGGUGAUUGAAAAAUUUAAUAAACUUUUUUUAUAUUUUUACAUUUAUUUAUGAAAGAUUGAUCCAUUUUUUAUGAUUAUAAGAUAAAAUUACCUUAGGGAUAACAGCGUAAUUUUUUUAGAGAGUUCAAAUCGAUAAAAAAGAUUGCGACCUCGAUGUUGGAUUAAAAUUAAUUUCUGGUGUAGAAGUUAGAAAUAUUAGGUCUGUUCGACCUUUAAAAUUUUACA
rnacentral:rRNA from 1 species